UUUCUGAUCUGAGAUAGUGGUUAAGAGAGACGGACGGAGCAUUCGUACCGCUGCGUGAGAGGUGAAAUUCUUGGACCGUAGCUAGACGUUCAACUGCGAAAGCAUUUGCCAAGAAUGUCUUCAUUAAUCAAGAACGAAAGUCAGAGGUUCGAAGACGAUCAGAUACCGCCCUAGUUCUGACCGUAAACGAUAUCAACUAGCGUUCCGUCGGCGGUAAAUACGCCUAGAUGGGAAACUUCCCGGAAACAAAAGUUUUUCGGUCCCGGGGAAAGUAUGGUUGCAAAGCUGANAGAGGUUCGAAGACGAUCAGAUACCGCCCUAGUUCUGACCGUAAACGAUAUCAAAUAGCGUUCCGUCGGCGGUAAAUAAGCCUAGAUGGGAAGCUUCCCGGAAACAAAAGUUUUUCGGUUCCGGGGAAAGUAUGGUUGCAAAGCUGAAACUUGAAGAAAUUGACGAAAGGGCACCACCAGGAGUGGAGCCUGCGGCUUAAUUUGACUCAACACAGGAAAACUCACCUAGCACGGACACCGUGAGGAUUGACAGAUUGAGAGCUCUUUCAUGAUUCGGUGGUUGGUGGUGCAUGGCCGUUCUUAGUUGGUGGAGUGAUUUGUCUAUUUCGUNGAAACUUGAAGAAAUUGACGAAAGGGCACCACCAGGAGUGGAGCCUGCGGCUUAAUUUGACUCAACACAGGAAAACUCACCUAGCACGGACACCGUGAGGAUUGACAGAUUGAGAGCUCUUUCAUGAUUCGGUGGUUGGUGGUGCAUGGCCGUUCUUAGUUGGUGGAGUGAUUUGUCUGGUUUAUUCCGAUAACGAGCGAGACUCUAGCCUACUAAAUAGUUACUGGAUAAUUUUGUCCAGAAAACUUCUUAGAGAGACAAGCAGCGUUUAGCCGCAUGAAAUUGAGCAAUAACAGGUCUGUGAUGCCCUUAGAUGUCUCUCCGCUACACUGGAGGAAUCAGCGAGCUGUAAUCAUUACCGAAAGGUAUUGGUAACCCCUUGAAAAUCCUCCGUGAUCGGGAUCGGGAAUUGCAAUUAUUUCCCUUGAACGAGGAAUUCUUAGUAAGUUUGAGUCAUCAGCUCACGUUGAUUACGUCCCUGCCCUUUGUACACACCGCCCGUCGCUGCCCGGGACUGAGCCGUUUCGAGAAAAGCGGAGACUGCUGUUUCGAUACCUUUCGAGGUGGAGAUUCUUUUGGUGGAAACCGCUUUAAUCGCAGUGGCUUAGACCGGGCAAAAGUCGUAACAAGGUUUCCGCAGGUGAAUCUGCGGAAG
rnacentral:rRNA from 1 species